UCAUUUGUAUCAAUGUUGUAUCAAUUGUAUCAACAAAUAAUACAAUUUGUAUCCAUAUACAAUUGUAUGAAUGUUGUAUCAAAUUCAUCAUUUAUAUUUAUAUAAUUAAUUCUUAUCAUUUGUAUGAAUGGUGUGUGAGUGUUGUAUUAGCGAAUACAUGUGUAUUUGUAUUUUGUAUCACUGAAGAGGAUUUGUAUAGUUGACACUUAUCAUUUGUGUUUGUAUAAUUAUUUGUUAACAUUGUUAUUUGUAUAAUUAAUUGUUAUCAUUUGUAUUGAGAAGGGGUUAGAGAAAGGUGAGAGAGAGAAGAGGAAGAAGGGAGAGGAGAGAGGCAAGGAAGACAUGAAAGAGAGAGAGGAGAGAGGAUAGAGGAAGAGAGGCGAGCGAGAGUGCUGAGAGAGAGGAGAGAGGAAGAGAGGAAAGAGAAAAUAACAACACCCUAACUAUAG
rnacentral:lncRNA from 1 species